rnacentral:tmRNA from 1 species
GGGGGCGACUUGGCUUCGACGGGUGGUCGAAGGUGAGCGCUGCGUGUCGACUUUGAUGUUCGUCGUUAAAGAAGCAUCACAGUUGGUAGCUUUUUAUCUGCCGACGAAAACUACGCUCUCGCUGCCUAACAGAAAUUAGGUAAGCGGGCUCUCGUCCGUGACGUCUCCUAGCGGGUCGCGAGAGUCAUCAGGAGACUGGCUUCCGAUCGCUGCUAGACCGUAACCGGAAGUGAGAUCCACGUGUAGCUAGGGAGUACUUGCUCCGUCCUUGCGGCCGGUGCUUCCGAAAUCGAGCAAGGACUACACACGUAGACGCGUUCUCUGGACGCCAUGCGGACGCGGGUUCGAUUCCCGCCGCCUCCACCA